rnacentral:sRNA from 1 species
AAAAAAACUCAUUUAUUUUAUUAAUGUUGAUCUUAUUUAUGAUAUGUUUAUGAAUUAUUGUCUAAAUAUUUUGUAAUUUUGUAGUAAUUAAAUGCUAUCAAAGAUCUCUACGGUUUGAUGAUUAUAAUCAUGUAGAAAAGCAAUAUCAAAAAUGAUAAUUUUGUAGUAAUUAAAUAAUAUUAAAUAUUUUGGAAGUUUUAUUUUAAUAAUUAAUCGUGUAGUUAAGGUAGAGAGAUUUUGGGAAGAUUAUUAAAUGUCAAAUAUUUAAUUAGAAGAUUUUCUUUCUAAUUAUCAAAAAUAAUUAUUAAAUGCCAGUGGCAGCCGCUGUAAAUAAAUCCCAACUCCAGGAUUUAUUUCACAAAGUGGCUGCAAAAAUGUAUAUAUAGAUAAUUUAAAAAGUUAUCUUUAUCAAAUUUUAAAAAUCAAAAUUUUA